rnacentral:rRNA from 1 species
CCUACGGGAGGCAGCAGUGGGGGAUAUUGCACAAUGGGGGGAACCCUGAUGCAGCGACGCCGCGUGGGUGAAGGAGUGCUUCGGCAUGUAAAGCCCUAUCGGCAGGGAAGAAGCAAGACGGUACCUGACUAAGAAGCCCCGGCUAACUACGUGCCAGCAGCCGCGGUAAAACGUAGGGGGCGAGCGUUCUCCGGAUUCACUGGGUGUAAAGGGAGCGUAGACGGCCAUGCAAGCCAGGGGUGAAAGCCCGGGGCCUAACCCCGGGACUGCCCUUGGAACUGCAUGGCUGGGGUGCGGGAGGGGCAGGCGGAAUUCCUGGUGUAGCGGUGAAAUGCGUAGAUAUCAGGAGGAACACCGGCGGCGAAGGCGGCCUGCUGGACCGCGACUGACGUUGAGGCUCGAAAGCGUGGGGAGCGAACAGGAUUAGAUACCCUAGUAGUC